rnacentral:rRNA from 1 species
AUUGAACGCUGGCGGCAGGCUUAACACAUGCAAGUCGAGCGAGCGGCGGACGGGUGAGUAAUGUCUGGGAAACUGCCUGAUGGAGGGGGAUAACUACUGGAAACGGUAGCUAAUACCGCAUACCAUCAGAUGUGCCCAGAUGGGAUUAGCUAGUAGGUGGGGUAAUGGCUCACCUAGGCGACGAUCCCUAGCUGGUCGGAGAGGAUGACCCGCCACAAUGGAACUAGAACAGUGUCCAGACUCCAACGGGAGGCAGGAGUGGGGAAGAUUGCACAAUGGGCGCAAGCCUGAUGAGGCGCUGCCGCGUGUGGGAAGAAGGCCUUCGGGUUGUAAGGCACUGUAAGCGAGGAGGCGGUGCUCGCAGAAGAAGCACCGGCUAACUCCGUGCCAGCAGCCGCGGGAAUUC